GACGAAGGGGGCUAGCGUUGUUCGGAAUUACUGGGUGUAAAGAGCGUGUAGGCGGCACGUUAAGUUCAGGGUGAAAGCGCCCGGCUCAACCGGGCAGAGUCCCUGGAAACUGCAGGGCUGGAGUCCGGGAGAGGAGGGUGGAAUUCCCAGUGUAGCGGUGAAAUGCGUAGAUAUUGGGAGGAACACCGGUGGCGAAGGCGGCCCUCUGGACCGGUACUGACGCUGAUGCGCGAAAGCGUGGGGAGCAAACGGG
rnacentral:rRNA from 1 species